UACGGAGGGUGCAAACGUUGUUCGGAAUCAUUGGGCGUAAAGCGCACGUAGGUGGUUUGUUAAGUCGGGUGUGAAAGCCCUGGGCUCAACCCAGGAAGUGCAGUCGAAACUGGCAGACUUGAGUACUGAAGAGGGUCGCGGAAUUCCCGGUGUAGAGGUGAAAUUCGUAGAUAUCGGGAGGAACACCAGUGGCGAAGGCGGCGACCUGGGCAGAUACUGACACUGAGGUGCGAAAGCGUGGGGAGCAAACAGG
rnacentral:rRNA from 1 species